rnacentral:tRNA from 1 species
GCUGGCGUAGCUUAAUUAAAGC